GCCCUUAUAGCUCAGUGGUAGAGCGCAGCACUUGUAAGUCUCCACAAGUUCAUGCUGAGGUCCAUCGUUCAAUCCGGUGUGGGGGCA
rnacentral:tRNA from 1 species